CAUGCAAGUCGAGGGGAAACGACAUCGAAAGCUUGCUUUUGAUGGGCGUCGACCGGCGCACGGGUGAGUAACGCGUAUCCAACCUGCCCACCACUUGGGGAUAACCUUGCGAAAGUAAGACUAAUACCCAAUGACGUCUCUAGAAGACAUCUGAAGGAGAUUAAAGAUUUAUCGGUGAUGGAUGGGGAUGCGUCUGAUUAGCUUGUUGGCGGGGUAACGGCCCACCAAGGCGACGAUCAGUAGGGGUUCUGAGAGGAAGGUCCCCCACAUUGGAACUGAGACACGGUCCAAACUCCUACGGGAGGCGGCAGUGAGGAAUAUUGGUCAAUGGACGAGAGUCUGAACCAGCCAAGUAGCGUGCAGGAUGACGGCCCUAUGGGUUGUAAACUGCUUUUAUAAGGGAAUAAAGUGAGUCUCGUGAGACUUUUUGCAUGUACCUUAUGAAUAAGGACCGGCUAAUUCCGUGCCAGCAGCCGCGGUAAUACGGAAGGUCCGGGCGUUAUCCGGAUUUAUUGGGUUUAAAGGGAGCGUAGGCCGGAGAUUAAGCGUGUUGUGAAAUGUAGAUGCUCAACAUCUGCACUGCAGCGCGAACUGGUUUCCUUGAGUACGCACAAAGUGGGCGGAAUUCGUGGUGUAGCGGUGAAAUGCUUAGAUAUCACGAAGAACUCCGAUUGCGAAGGCAGCUCACUGGAGCGCAACUGACGCUGAAGCUCGAAAGUGCGGGUAUCGAACAGGAUUAGAUACCCUGGUAGUCCGCACGGUAAACGAUGGAUGCCCGCUGUUGGUCUGAAUAGGUCAGCGGCCAAGCGAAAGCAUUAAGCAUCCCACCUGGGGAGUACGCCGGCAACGGUGAAACUCAAAGGAAUUGACGGGG
rnacentral:rRNA from 1 species